UGGGGAAUUUUGGACAAUGGGCGCAAGCCUGAUCCAGCCAUGCCGCGUGCGGGAAGAAGGCCUUCGGGUUGUAAACCGCUUUUGUCAGGGAAGAAAUCUUCUGAGUUAAUACCUCGGGAGGAUGACGGUACCUGAAGAAUAAGCACCGGCUAACUACGUGCCAGCAGCCGCGGUAAUACGUAGGGUGCAAGCGUUAAUCGGAAUUACUGGGCGUAAAGCGUGCGCAGGCGGUUUUGUAAGACAGAGGUGAAAUCCCCGGGCUCAACCUGGGAACUGCCUUUGUGACUGCAAGGCUUGAGUGCGGCAGAGGGGGAUGGAAUUCCGCGUGUAGCAGUGAAAUGCGUAGAUAUGCGGAGGGACACCGAUGGCGAAGGCAAUCCCCUGGGCCUGCACUGACGCUCAUGCACGAAAGCGUGGGGAGCAAACAGGAUUAGAUACCCUGGUAGUCCACGCCCUAAAACGAUGUCAACUGGUUGUUGGGAAGGUUCCUUCUCAGUAACGUAGCUAACGCGUGAAGUUGACCGCCUGGGGAGUACGGCCGCAAGGUU
rnacentral:rRNA from 1 species